UAUCCCUCAAGGUUGUACCUGGAGAGUUUCCAGUACUCUACCAGUCUCAACUAUGGGAGGGAGAGUCAAGCAGAGGUAUCCCAUUCCUAGCUUGGGCAGUGGCUAGUGAGUGGAAAGCAAUCUGCUACAAGU